rfam:Aedes aegypti strain Liverpool supercont1.244 genomic scaffold, whole genome shotgun sequence.
UGCCCAGCAACUCCUAUCCCUACCUCGUCGCGGUACUGGCCGGGUUACGAGUAACCUUAGGGAAGAUCGGGUAACCAACUCCGGUGGGAACUCUGUUCGUAUGCUGAGGGGGACGAGG